rnacentral:rRNA from 1 species
UACAGAGGUCUCAAGCGUUGUUCGGAUUCAUUGGGCGUAAAGGGUGCGUAGGCGGCGGGGCAAGUCGGAUGUGAAAAUCUCAGGGCUCAACCCCUGAAACUGCAUUCGAUACUGCCUUGCUCGAGGACUCGAGAGGAGAUUGGAAUUCACGGUGUAGCAGUGAAAUGCGUAGAGAUCGUGAGGAAGACCAGUGGCGAAGGCGGGAUCUCUGGAGAGUUCCUGAGCGAGGCACGAAGGCCAGGGGAGCAAA